rnacentral:sRNA from 1 species
CCUAUGAGGAUGAGAACCUCCGGGGGCAGGGAGGUUCGACUCGAGCGAAGCGAGAGAACGUUGCGCCAGCAACGGCCCGCAGGGCGAGCCACGAAGUGGCGAGUAAUCCUCUGGCACCGACCA